rnacentral:rRNA from 1 species
CUAGUACGGCGAGUGAAGCGGCAACAGCUCAAAUUUGAAAUCUGGCUCUCGGGCCCGAGUUGUAAUUUGUAGAGGAUACUUUUGAUGCGGUGCCUUCCGAGUUCCCUGGAACGGGACGCCAUAGAGGGUGAGAGCCCCGUCUGGUUGGAUGCCAAAUCUCUGUAAAGUUCCUUCAACGAGUCGAGUAGUUUGGGAAUGCUGCUCUAAAUGGGAGGUAUAUGUCUUCUAAAGCUAAAUACCGGCCAGAGACCGAUAGCGCACAAGUAGAGUGAUCGAAAGAUGAAAAGCACUUUGAAAAGAGAGUUAAAAAGUACGUGAAAUUGUUGAAAGGGAAGCGUUUAUGACCAGACUUGGGCUUGGUUAAUCAUCUGGGGUUCUCCCCAGUGCACUUUUCCAGUCCAGGCCAGCAUCAGUUUUCCCCGGGGGAUAAAGGCGGCGGGAAUGUGGCUCUCUUCGGGGAGUGUUAUAGCCCACCGUGUAAUACCCUGGGGGGGACUGAGGUUCGCGCAUCUGCAAGGAUGCUGGCGUAAUGGUCAUCAACGACCCGUCUUGAAACACGGACCAAGGAGUCGUCUUCGUAUGCGAGUGUUCGGGUGUCAAACCCCUACGCGUAAUGAAAGUGAACGCAGGUGAGAGCUUCGGCGCAUCAUCGACCGAUCCUGAUGUUCUCGGAUGGAUUUGAGUAAGAGCAUACGGGGCCGGACCCGAAAGAAGGUGAACUAUGCCUGUAUAGGGUGAAGCCAGAGGAAACUCUGGUGGAGGCUCGCAGCGGUUCUGACGUGCAAAUCGAUCGUCAAAUAUGGGCAUG